rnacentral:misc_RNA from 1 species
UCCAUUACCAUUUGUCACUGUUUUAAACUUAAAAUAAGUAACAAAGACGUUAUUACAAGAACAUAAAUUAAAGAGAGAGCUAUAUACAAACAUUUUAUUGUAUGGAAACUCCCAUUCAUUCCAAAACUACCAAUGCCAAUUUUUUAUAGCUUUAUCUUCCACAUAAGCUCUCAUAUUUCGCAGGAUCCCUUUAACAAUUACCCCAAAAUGUCGAUCAAAUCUUCCCGCUGCUUUUCCGUGGUUGAUCAACAAACUCUAAAUGACAUAAUUAACUGCUGCACUUUUCUUUAUUUGGGUUCAAAGUUCAAGCCCCAAAUGCCAUUGCCAUCCACCUACGCAGCAAACACUCCACUAAAUGGUUUCCCAAUUGUAAUUUGAUUCUGAGGAAUUUUG